rnacentral:rRNA from 1 species
GAUGAACGCUGGCGGCGUGCCUAAUACAUGCAAGUCGAGCGAACAGAUAAGGAGCUUGCUCCUUUGACGUUAGCGGCGGACGGGUGAGUAACACGUGGGUAACCUACCUAUAAGACUGGAAUAACUCCGGGAAACCGGGGCUAAUGCCGGAUAACAUUUAGAACCGCAUGGUUCUAAAGUGAAAGAUGGUUUUGCUAUCACUUAUAGAUGGACCCGCGCCGUAUUAGCUAGUUGGUAAGGUAACGGCUUACCAAGGCAACGAUACGUAGCCGACCUGAGAGGGUGAUCGGCCACACUGGAACUGAGACACGGUCCAGACUCCUACGGGAGGCAGCAGUAGGGAAUCUUCCGCAAUGGGCGAAAGCCUGACGGAGCAACGCCGCGUGAGUGAUGAAGGUCUGCGGAUCGUAAAACUCUGUUAUUAGGGAAGAACAAAUGUGUAAGUAACUGUGCACGUCUUGACGGUACCUAAUCAGAAAGCCACGGCUAACUACGU